GGCCAGAGACGGGUCCACCUGAACAAGAAUUUCUUCCUGCGUAACGCGUCAGCAGCUCGCUCCGAGACCUUUAUCAACCUGCGGGAGGUGUGCAACCGCUUUUGUCUUCCCCCCGGAGAAUACCUCAUCAUCCCGUCCACGUUCCAACCUAACAACAAUGGAGACUUCUGCGUCAGGGUGUUCUCUGAAAAACAGGCUGAGUUCCAAGAUCUUGAUGAUUCUGUGGAGUCCCACGUUGAGGAGAUCGUGGUGGAGAAGGAGGAUGUCGAUGAAAGAUUUAGGAAUCUAUUUGGACAGUUAGCUGGACACGACUGUGAGAUCUCUGCAUUUGAACUGCGGAGGAUUCUGAACAAAGUUGUGACCAAGCGUAAGACAU